GUCUCUUCGGAGACAUCCGAUAAAAUUGGAACGAUACAGAGAAGAUUAGCAUGGCCCUUGCGUAAGAAUGAAACGCUCAAAUUGAGAAGUGGUCCAAAUUUUU
rnacentral:snRNA from 1 species